rnacentral:rRNA from 1 species
GUCUGCAUGAAGUUGGAAUCGCUAGUAAUCGUAGAUCAGCACGCUACGGUGAAUACGUUCUCGGGUCUUGUACACACCGCCCGUCAAGCUAUGGGAGUUCUUUUUACCCGAAUUACAUGAGUUAACCGCAAGGAGACAGUGUAACACGGUAGUGGGAAUGACUGGAGUUAAGUCGUAACAAGGUAGCCGUAGGAGAACCUGUGGCUGGAUUACCUCCUUU